GUAACGGCGAGUGAAGCGGCAAAAGCUCAAAUUUGAAAUCUGGUACCUUCGGUGCCCGAGUUGUAAUUUGGAGAGGGCAACUUUGGGGCCGUUCCUUGUCUAUGUUCCUUGGAACAGGACGUCAUAGAGGGUGAGAAUCCCGUGUGGCGAGGAGUGCGGUUCUUUGUAAAGUGCCUUCGAAGAGUCGAGUUGUUUGGGAAUGCAGCUCUAAGUGGGUGGUAAAUUCCAUCUAAAGCUAAAUAUUGGCGAGAGACCGAUAGCGAACAAGUACAGUGAUGGAAAGAUGAAAAGAACUUUGAAAAGAGAGUGAAAAAGUACGUGAAAUUGUUGAAAGGGAAGGGCAUUUGAUCAGACAUGGUGUUUUGUGCCCUCUGCUCCUUGUGGGUAGGGGAAUCUCGCAUUUCACUGGGCCAGCAUCAGUUUUGGUGGCAGGAUAAAUCCAUAGGAAUGUAGCUUGCCUCGGUAAGUAUUAUAGCCUGUGGGAAUACUGCCAGCUGGGACUGAGGACUGCGACGUAAGUCAAGGAUAAUCCGAAAACCUUCUUCACACACGCGGCAUUGCUGGAUCAGGGUUGCCCCCAUUGUCCAAUAUUCCCCACUGCUGCCUCCCGUAGGAGUCUGGGCCGUGUCUCAGUCCCAGUGUGGCUGAUCAUCCUCUCAGACCAGCUAUCGAUCAUCGCCUUGGUAGGCCAUUACCCCACCAACAAGCUAAUCGAACGCAGGCUCCUCCACAGGCGACUUGCGCCUUUGACCCUCAGGUAUCAUGCGGUAUUAGCUCCAGUUUCCCAGAGUUAUCCCCCACCCAUGGAUAGAUUCCUACGCGUUACUCACCCGUCCGCCACUAAGGCCGAAACCUUCGUGCGACUUGCA
rnacentral:rRNA from 1 species